rnacentral:rRNA from 1 species
AUUGAACGCUGGCGGCAUGCCUUACACAUGCAAGUCGAACGGCAGCACGGGUGCUUGCCCCUGGUGGCGAGUGGCGAACGGGUGAGUAAUACAUCGGAACAUGUCCUGUAGUGGGGGAUAGCCCGGCGAAAGCCGGAUUAAUACCGCAUACGAUCUACGGAUGAAAGCGGGGGACCUUCGGGCCUCGCGCUAUGGGGUUGGCCGAUGGCUGAUUAGCUAGUUGGUGGGGUAAAGGCCUACCAAGGCGACGCUCAGUAGCUGGUCUGAGAGGACGACCAGCCACACUGGGACUGAGACACGGCCCAGACUCCUACGGGAGGCAGCAGUGGGGAAUUUUGGACAAUGGGCGAAAGCCUGAUCCAGCAAUGCCGCGUGUGUGAAGAAGGCCUUCGGGUUGUAAAGCACUUUUGUCCGGAAAGAAAUCCUUGGCCCUAAUACGGUCGGGGGAUGACGGUACCGGAAGAAUAAGCACCGGCUAACUACGUG